UUCCUGAUUCAGUGAGUUUUUUAAAUCACUUACUGCACUUGAGACCAGCCUCUGAUUGAAACGUCUGCUGGAGUCGGAGCGGCCACUUCUGGGAAGCGAGGGCGCAAGCAAAGAGAGCUGGUGGCAGCUGGGACUAGAUCAUCUGUGCUGCCUGGACAAAGACCAUGGGACAUUUCAGUUGUUUAUCAGGGAUUUGGAUUAGAAGAGACCAGUCUCUUCCAGGACAUCAAGCAGAGGCAGCGAGAGGUUUUGCCCAGAGAAGCUUCCUUUGAAGACAGGAGCAACUUCUUCUGAGACAGACCAUUGGGGACAUACUGGAAGCAAUAGCUGUGACUGGUGGGUAAGGGAGAAUUCGCACCAGCAUCACUAGGGACACACUUACCUCUUUCCUGCUAUCUUACAAAUCGCAGAUGUUUCCCCAAAAUAGAAAAAGACUGUUGUGUUUGCCCCUGGGAUAUAUGUCCUGUUACAAAUUUCUCUGUGGAAAAGGGGGAAACACCCCGUGCCAUGAUUCUUCUGCGGAUGUGCUAAUUCACGGGGUUUAGGAACAGUAUUGCUUCCUGGAUUUAGGGGGGUUGAUUUCAUUGAAACUUAGCAAAAUAGAAGGUUAG